AUGACUGCAGGGCAUGAAGAAAACUUGAAGUCUACAUCCAGGGGCAAGUUGAGAACCACUGAAGAGGACUUGAGGUCCAGAGGGGAUCAACUGAGGCAAAAUGCGGAGUUGGAGUCGAGUGGAGAGAACUUGAUGUCCAAGAGAGAGAAACGGGUGUCCAUUGGAGAGAAGGUGAUAGGCAGGGGAGAGAAGCGGAGGUCUGCUGAUGAAAAAAUGGACAGUAGGGAGAAGCGGGUGUCUGUUGUAGAGAAGAUGGACAGUAGAGAGAGGCGGGGGUCCAUCAGAGAGAAGGUGUCAGACAGUGGAGAGAAGCGGGGAUCUAUCAGAGAGAAGGUGUCAGACAGUGGAGAGAAGCGGGGAUCCAUCAGAGAGAAGGUGUCAGACAGUGGAGAGAAGCGGGGAUCCAUCAGAGAGAAGGUGUCAGACAGUGGAGAGAAGCGGGGAUCUAUCAGAGAGAAGGUGUCAGACAGUGGAGAGAAGCGGGGGUCCAUCAGAGAGAAGGUGUCAGACACUAGAGAGAAGCGGGGAUCCAUCAGAGAGAAGGUGUCAGACACUAGAGAGAAGCGGGGAUCUAUCAGAGAGAAGGUGUCAGACAGUGGAGAGAAGCGGGGAUCCAUCAGAGAGAAGGUGUCAGACAGUGGAGAGAAGCGGGGAUCCAUCAGAGAGAAGGUGUCAGACAGUGGAGAGAAGCGGGGAUCCAUCAGAGAGAAGGUGUCAGAUAGUGGAGAGAGGCGUGGGUCCAGAGA
rnacentral:lncRNA from 1 species